rnacentral:rRNA from 1 species
UGCUUAACACAUGCAAGUCGAACGGGAUGCUUAGGCAUCUAGUGGCGGACGGGUGAGUAACGCGUGAGAAUCUGGCUCCAGGUCGGGGAUAACAGUUGGAAACGACUGCUAAUACCGGAUGUGCCGAGAGGUGAAAGAUUUAUUGCCUGGAGAUGAGCUCGCGUCUGAUUAGCUAGUUGGUGGUGUAAGGGACCACCAAGGCGUCGAUCAGUAGCUGGUCUGAGAGGAUGAUCAGCCACACUGGGACUGAGACACGGCCCAGACUCCUACGGGAGGCAGCAGUGGGGAAUUUUCCGCAAUGGGCGAAAGCCUGACGGAGCAAUACCGCGUGAGGGAGGAAGGCUCUUGGGUCGUAAACCUCUUUUCUCAAGGAAGAAGAAAGUGACGGUACUUGAGGAAUAAGCAUCGGCUAACUCCGUGCCAGCAGCCGCGGUAAUACGGAGGAUGCAAGCGUUAUCCGGAAUGAUUGGGCGUAAAGGGUCUGCAGGUGGAACUGAAAGUCUGCUGUUAAAGAGUUUGGCUUAACCAAAUAAAAGCGGUGGAAACUACAGAACUAGAGUGCGGUAGGGGCAAAAGGAAUUCCUGGUGUAGCGGUGAAAUGCGUAGAUAUCAGGAAGAACACCGGUGGCGAAAGCGUUUUGCUAGACCGUAACUGACACUGAGGGACGAAAGCUAGGGGAGCGAAUGGGAUUAGAUACCCCAGUAGUCCUAGCCGUAAACGAUGGAUACUAGGCGUGGCUUGUAUCGACCCGAGCCGUGCCGGAGCUAACGCGUUAAGUAUCCCGCCUGGGGAGUACGCACGCAAGUGUGAAACUCAAAGGAAUUGACGGGGGCCCGCACAAGCGGUGGAGUAUGUGGUUUAAUUCGAUGCAACGCGAAGAACCUUACCAAGACUUGACAUCCUGCGAAUCCCGGUGAAAGCUGGGAGUGCCUUAGGGAGCGCAGAGACAGGUGGUGCAUGGCUGUCGUCAGCUCGUGUCGUGAGAUGUUGGGUUAAGUCCCGCAACGAGCGCAACCCUCGUUUUUAGUUGCCAGCAUUAAGUUGGGCACUCUAGAGAGACUGCCGGUGACAAACCGGAGGAAGGUGAGGAUGACGUCAAGUCAGCAUGCCCCUUACGUCUUGGGCUACACACGUACUACAAUGCUACGGACAGAGGGCAGCAAGCCAGGGAUGGCAAGCGAAUCCAGAAACCGUAGCUCAGUUCAGAUCGAAGGCUGCAACUCGCCUUCGUGAAGGAGGAAUCGCUAGUAAUUGCAGGUCAGCAUACUGCAGUGAAUUCGUUCCCGGGCCUUGUACACACCGCCCGUCACACCACGGAAGUUGGUCACGCCCGAAGUCAUUACCCCAACCGAAAGGAGGGGGAUGCCUAAGGUAGGACUGGUGACUGGGGUGAAGUCGUAACAAGGUAGCCGUACCGGAAGGUGUGGCUGGAUCACCUCCUUU